GUCUGGUGUACGAGAUAUUGGUGCGGUUCAAUCAGAGAGCACGUCUCCUACGCACAUCGAAAUGGGGGAUGCUAUUCGAUUGAGCCGCGUCAAUAUCCCGUGUUCCUCAC
rnacentral:pre_miRNA from 1 species